rnacentral:lncRNA from 1 species
GUGGCAUCCCUGGCGCGAAGGUGGCACCAUGUAUCGCUUUCUGCUAGGGAACAAGUUAGUCUGCUCCUGCUGGUUGGGGGUUCGAGCUGCGGGGAGGAGGGGAUGAUGAUGUGUCUCUCUAGGAUCCUUUGUAGUCCGAGGGUGAGUGACGGUGUCGGGGAAGGGGUGGAAGGGAGCCGUCUCGUAGCUAGUCAGUGCCAAGGUGUAGGCCACCCAGUGCGUGGGUCUCCCUGUAAUGGAGUGAAAGGGUAUUUGUUGGGAUGUCUGGAUCUCGGUUGGUUUGGGACCUCUGCCUGGAGUCGUGCUCCAGCAGUGAAGUGCAGAAAGCUGUGAAUAUGGUCUGUGGGCUGCGCCAGCGCUGGUGCGAGCCCCUGCAGGGAGACUCUGUAGUGGUCGGAAAGAGCUCGACUGAGCUGCGGAAUAGCCUGAGUAGCAUCAUUGGGACCUCUGCGACUUGGAAGAAACGACUAUAUCCUGGAGCUUUAGAGAGGUGGCAAGGCAGAGCCUGUGGCCACGGUAAGGGGUUGUGGGAGCCAGCCCUUUAAAGAAGCUGUUCAACUUAGAAGUGUUGAAGUCUGGAGGAAUGUGCACGCUGGGGGAAGUUUGUACGUCUCUGGCCUUGAUUCUUGACUCAGCACAUGGCAUAGUGGAAGGCAAUCCAGGCAAAUUCAAGCCCCCUAUUGGGGACCUGAUGUUUCACAGAAAGGUGUUCACAGAGAGCAUGUGGGAAACAGUACAGGUGAAGUCCGAAUAGGAUAUAUUGGGAGAUUAGGGUAUCUUGUGAAGCUGGGUACAGGUGUGUUUGUUUCUGAGACAGGGUUUCACUGUAACCUGGCUGGACUGGAAUAAGAGAUUCACCUGCCUCUGCCUCUUCCGCGCUGGGAUUAAAUCAUGCCAUACCACAUUUAGCUUGUGUUAAGAUCUCUAGACUCUUUUUUUUUUUUCUUUUUUGGUUUUUUGAGACAGGGUUUUUCUGUAUCUGUAUAGCCCUGGCUGUCCUGGAACUCUGUAGACCAGGCUGGCCUCGAACUCAGAAAUCUGCCUGCCUCUGCCUCUGCCUCCCGAGUGCUGGGAUUAAGGCAUGUGUCACCACCGCCUCUUUACACUUAAGGUCUUAGUGCAUAAAACCAUUUGGAAGUAAAGGAUGUACUUGCUGUCUCAGCAAUGCUCUUGAGCAGUUGUUAACCACAAUGCAUGUGGGUCAUCUAGAGAUAAGGAGAGUCUAUGGUCAACUGGGCAUGGUGGUUUAUACCUCUAAUUCCAGCAUCCAGGAGGGUGAGGCAGGAGGAUUGCAGAGUUCCAAAGCUAUUGUGGUCUACAUAGCAAGUUCCAUGCCAUUCAGGACUACAUGGUGAAACCCUAUCCCAAACAAAAUUCAUGGUGAGGUGGCUAAUGCUUGUAAUUCAGGAACCUGAGGCUGAUGCAGGAGGCCCAGAUGAGUUUUACAUUUACUUGUUUAUAUAGUUUGUGUGUGGGGGGGGUGGGGGGUGGGAGUGGGGGUGGUCAAGGGACAUCUUAGGAGAACUGAUUUUCUCCUUACACAAUGGAUCCCAGAGAUUCACCUCAGGUUGUUAGGCUUGGUGUCGGUGUCCUUACCUUGGAGCCAUCUUCAUAGCUCGGUGGCACACACCUUUCUCUGAGUUUGAGGCCAGUCUGGUCUACAGAUGAACUUCCAGGACAGAUAGAGCUACAGAGAAACCCUCAGAAAACAAAAGAACUCCCACAUCUUGUCCCCCAACAUCAUGUCCCGUGAAGUUGUACCAUCAAAUACCCUCCACUCCAGGCAUACCUCAUAGCCCUACCAACUAAAUAAAAUACAGUAAGGUCUUGCAGAAAUAGUAACAGGACCUAGCCCAAGGUCAACUCCAGCCAUCCAACCUUCAGUAUCAGGGACUAGAUCCCCUGGCUUCAUAACACCUCCUCCACCUGAGAAGCAGAGGGGCUCUGGGAUAUUACAAGGGACCAGGAAUGUCCAGAAGACCUCCCCCUUGCAGUUUCUCUGGGCACAAGGUUUCAGAGUUUUAAGUCUUGAUCCAGGCUGUGGAUCACUCUGUAGCCAUAGUGGCUGUGGACUCGAGCAAUCCUCUUGCCUCAGCCUUCCACAUGCUGUAUACCAUGCCUGGUUCAGUUGAUAGAAUGCUUGCUUAGCAUGUUUUAAGCCACAGGCUUGAUUCUUACUAGUUCAUAAUAGGGUGUGGUGGGUGGGGAACUGACCCAAGGCUGUCUUCCAGAGUUAGUGGGACCUUUGGGCCUUGGGCUGAAACCUAGCUUCCUCCACAGGUCUGGUUUCAAGUGCUCCUACAAGGGUGAAGUGGGAAGACCCUGAUAAGCUCUGCCCUACUGCCACCCCCAUGCCUAAUACAUGACAAUAGAAAUCAAACCCUGGGCUGGUGAGAUGACUCAGCGGUAAGAGCACUGACUGCUCUUCCGAAGGUCGAGUUCAAAUCCCAGCAACCACAUGGUGGCUCACAACCACCAUAUAUCUGAAGCCUUCUUCUGGUGCGCCUGAGCAAGCAGGGACUGAGUGAGCAGCCGACCCAGAGUGAGAAGAGGUUCUAAAAAUUCAAUUUCCAACAGUCACAUGAACUCUCACAGCCAUCUGUACAGCCACAGUGUACUCACAUACAGAAGAUAAAUAAAUCUUAAAGAAAAAGAAACCAAAUCCCAGGGCUGGUGAGAUGGUUCAGUGGUUAAGAGCACUGACUGCUUUUCCAGAGGUCCAGAGUUCAAAUUCCAGCAACCACAUGGUGGCUCACAACCAUCCAUGAGAUCUGAUGCCCUCUUCUGAUGUGUCUGAAGACAGCUACAGUGUACUUAUAUAUAAUAAAUAAAUUUUUUAAAUCC